rnacentral:lncRNA from 1 species
GCUGACAACACCCACGGCCCAUGUGGAGGUGGUGGAAAGGCUGGACUCAGCAGCAACACCAAAUCCCGGACCAGGCAGAAACCACCCAAGACUGAGGGGCUUGUGCCAGAGCGGUGGCCACAGAAGGAGAGCCGGGUCCCCCUCCUGGAGAACGCUGCGUUCCCCAGCCCCACACCGGCUUUGCCACCACACAGGCUUUUGAGGCAGGAGGGGGAGACUUCAGAACCCACUCCUGAGAACAGCAGAGCCAGGCGCUUAGAGGAAGACAAAAUGUUGCCAGGACACAGAUUGUCCAGGGAUUACAGGAUAUUAAUAUCAAUAUUAUAUAUCAAUAUCAAUAUUUAAUAUUAAUAUUAAUAUUAAUUAUUAAUA